UUCAGAGUGAGGAGAGAAUCUUUGGAGGCUGAAUCAAAAACCUUCCAGUAAGAGGGUCUUUCCAGCUGACCUUCUGGUAGUGUCACAUCCUGAAAGAAUAUUGAAAUCUGGCAGUAUGGUCUGUGUGAGGUCUGCCAGCUGUGAUGGAUAAGACAAGACUGGUCAUGCAGAUCCUGAAAUUCACAUUCCACAAUGUCCUACUGCCAUUCUUUCUGCAGCCUUGAAACCAUCAGAAUAAGCUGAUUUGGAUAGAAUAAGAACAGCUAGAAAGAAAAGAACAGAUGGAUGAGGACAUGGGUGGAAAGACCAUUUUCAGUGAUUGUGGCUUGGAGGUCUAGUGGGAAAGUAAUUAUAUUUGUUGAGAAAGUUCUAACUUUAUAUUAAGCAAGAUAGAGCAGGAGCAUUUCACAAGCUCCCUCCCAUCUCGUUGACUUUAUUUACUGCAGUUGCUAUAUCUAAGCACAGCUGUCAUGAAUCAUCUAGAAGAAGCAGAACGGUGAUAAUAAUUUUGGCAAAGUUUUAAAUUUAGCUUUCUCAGUACAGUAUGUAUAUUAUCUUGAAUAAGAUAAUUAUGGUAUGUUGACUAUGUGGUCAUUAUGGAGUACCAUGAAAAUAAGGAUGAGGGGUUUGAGGUUGUUGAGGAAACCUAGAGAAAGCUGGUAUGGCUGAGAUCCACAAAAAGGACUUAGGCACCUAAGUUGCCAAUUUAGGUGCUACCAUGACUCAUGAAACCCCUUCCCCCUCAACUGUUGCCUAGCCACGUAGGCACCUAAACUCACUCAGCACUUAAAUUUCUGCUGUAAGAGUUCCCUAAGGGCCUAUGUUUCUCCCUGCCAUUCAGACUCCUAUCUCAUGCCUAAACCCCAGAACAAUCUUUAGUCCAGGGGAAGACUGGUGGAGGAAUGCCUGUUUCACCAUCGGGGCCUAAUCCACUAGGGUGACCCUGCUUCAGUUCCCCCUGUGCCUCAUGAGAAGAAGGGGUUUGAACAGGCCUUCCCCUCCUCUCUGGUGAGCACCUAACCAAAGGAUUAUGGAAUAUGCUGAUGUGGGUUUUUCAAACAGAAAAAAGUAA